rnacentral:rRNA from 1 species
AGCAGUAGCCGCGGUAAUACAGAGGAUGCAAGCGUUAUCCGGAAUGAUUGGGCGUAAAGCGUCUGUAGGUGGCUUUUCAAGUCUGCCCUCAAAUCCCAGGGCUCAACACUGCACAGGCGGUGGAAACUACCAAGCUGGAGUACGGUAGGGUCAGACGGAAUUUCCGGUGGAGCGGUGAAAUGCGUUGAGAUCGGAAAGAACACCAACAGCGAAAGCACUCUGCUGGGCCGACACUAACGCUGAGAGACGAAAGCUAGGGGAGCAAAUGGGAUUAGAUACCCCUGUAGUCCCUGUCUCUUAUAC